rnacentral:rRNA from 1 species
GACGAACGCUGGCGGCGUGCUUAACACAUGCAAGUCGAGCGGUAAGGCCCUUUCGGGGGUACACGAGCGGCGAACGGGUGAGUAGCACGUGGGUGACCUGCCCUCAGCUCUGGGAGUAAGCCUGGGAAACCGGGUCUAAUACUGGAUAUGACUCCAUGACGCAUGUUGUGGGGUGGAAAGCCUUGUGCGGCUGAGGAUGGGCCCGCGGCCUAUCAGCUUGUUGGUGGGGUGAUGGCCUACCAAGGCGACGACGGGUAGCCGGCCUGAGAGGGCGACCGGCCACACUGGGACUGAGACACGGCCCAGACUCCUACGGGAGGCAGCAGUGGGGAAUCUUGCGCAAUGGGCGAAAGCCUGACGCAGCGACGCCGCGUGAGGGAUGACGG